UUUAGAGGAAGUAAAAGUCGUAACAAGGUUUCCGUAGGUGAACCUGCGGAAGGAUCAUUACACUCAGUAGUUUACUACUGUUAAGAAGGCUGUUAGUCUGUAUAGUUUAAUCGCUGAUGAGCAGCUAGCCUUCUUUCCACACCCUUGUCUUUUGCGUACCCAUGUUUCCUCGGCAGGCUUGCCUGUCGAUUGGACAAUCUAUAACCUUUUUAAUUUUUAUUCAGCGUCUGAAAAACUUAAUAAUUACAACUUUCAACAACGGAUCUCUUGGUUCUGGCAUCGAUGAAGAACGCAGCGAAAUGCGAUAAGUAGUGUGAAUUGCAGAAUUCAGUGAAUCAUCGAAUCUUUGAACGCACAUUGCGCCCUAUAGUAUUCUGUAGGGCAUGCAUGUUCGAGCGUCAUUUGUACCUUCAAGCUUUGCUUGGUGUUGGGUGUUUGUCCUCUCCCUAGUGUUUGGACUCGCCUUAAAACAAUUGGCAGCCAGUGUUUUGGUAUUGAAGCGCAGCACAAUUUGCGAUUCUGGCCUUAAAAUACUAGCGUCCAUAAGCAUCUUCUCACUUUUGACCUCGGAUCAUGUAGGGAUACCCGCUGAACUUAA
rnacentral:rRNA from 1 species